AGAAAACCAGAGAAGAAAGAAAGGAGAGAAAAGAGAAGAAGAAAAUAGAGAAAAAAACAAUGGAUGCUGAAAGGAUCUUUGGUGGUGGAAAGAGAGAGUGGGGUAUUAAAAUUAAGGAAACAAUGCAAUUCAGAAAUAAUUUUUGGAAAGUCAGGUUGUGGAAUAGACACACACAACACUUUUAUUGAUAUUUUUAUAUGUAAAUAUCGGCCUUUUUGUGUCAAUAAAUUUUGUAAUAAAAAUAGAAACUCUAAUGAUUAUUUUGGUA